rnacentral:rRNA from 1 species
AACUGCGAAUGGCUCAUUAAAUCAGUUAUCGUUUAUUUGAUAGUACCUUGCUACAUGGAUACCUGUGGUAAUUCUAGAGCUAAUACAUGCUGAAAACCCCGACUUCGGAAGGGGUGUAUUUAUUAGAUAAAAAACCAAUGCCCUUCGGGGCUCCUUGGUGAUUCAUAAUAACUUAACGAAUCGCAUGGCCUUGCGCCGGCGAUGGUUCAUUCAAAUUUCUGCCCUAUCAACUUUCGAUGGUAGGAUAGUGGCCUACCAUGGUGGCAACGGGUAACGGGGAAUUAGGGUUCGAUUCCGGAGAGGGAGCCUGAGAAACGGCUACCACAUCCAAGGAAGGCAGCAGGCGCGCAAAUUACCCAAUCCCGACACGGGGAGGUAGUGACAAUAAAUACUGAUACAGGGCUCUUUUGGGUCUUGUAAUCGGAAUGAGUACAAUCUAAAUCCCUUAACGAGGAACAAUUGGAGGGCAAGUCUGGUGCCAGCAGCCGCGGUAAUUCCAGCUCCAAUAGCGUAUAUUAAAGUUGUUGCAGUUAAAAAGCUCGUAGUUGAACCUUGGGUCUGGCUGGCCGGUCCGCCUCACCGCGAGUACUGGUCCGGCUGGACCUUUCCUUCUGGGGAACCCCAUGGCCUUCACUGGCCGUGGCGGGGAACCAGGACUUUUACUGUGAAAAAAUUAGAGUGUUCAAAGCAGGCCUUUGCUCGAAUACAUUAGCAUGGAAUAAUAGAAUAGGACGUGCGGUUCUAUUUUGUUGGUUUCUAGGACCGCCGUAAUGAUUAAUAGGGAUAGUCGGGGGCGUCAGUAUUCAGCUGUCAGAGGUGAAAUUCUUGGAUUUGCUGAAGACUAACUACUGCGAAAGCAUUCGCCAAGGAUGUUUUCAUUAAUCAGGGAACGAAAGUUAGGGGAUCGAAGACGAUCAGAUACCGUCGUAGUCUUAACCAUAAACUAUGCCGACUAGGGAUCGGACGGUGUUCUAUGAUGACCCGUUCGGCACCUUACGAGAAAUCAAAGUUU